GAUGAACGCUGGCGGCGUGCCUAAUACAUGCAAGUCGAGCGAACGGACGAGAAGCUUGCUUCUCUGAUGUUAGCGGCGGACGGGUGAGUAACACGUGGAUAACCUACCUAUAAGACUGGGAUAAUUUCGGGAAACCGGAGCUAAUACCGGAUGAUAUUUUGAACCGCAUGGUUCAAAAGUGAAAGACGGUCUUGCUGUCACUUAUAGAUGGAUCCGCGCUGCAUUAGCUAGUUGGUAAGGUAACGGCUUACCAAGGCAACGAUGCAUAGCCGACCUGAGAGGGUGAUCGGCCACACUGGAACUGAGACACGGUCCAGACUCCUACGGGAGGCAGCAGUAGGGAAUCUUCCGCAAUGGGCGAAAGCCUGACGGAGCAACGCCGCGUGAGUGAUGAAGGUCUUCGGAUCGUAAAACUCUGUUAUUAGGGAAGAACAUAUGUGUAAGUAACUGUGCACAUCUUGACGGUACCUAAUCAGAAAGCCACGGCUAACUACGCG
rnacentral:rRNA from 1 species